rnacentral:lncRNA from 1 species
UUAAAUUAAAAAAAAACAAUUUAUAAUUGUUUUAACAUGCUGAAAACAGAAAAUGUAAAUUGUGCUUCAUCUGCUUGGUCUUCUUCACUCCUCCAUCGUCUGCGCCAAAAUCGUGUUUCAUAAUUUUCUCCAGGUCAAAAACAAAAUCGUUCAAAUCCUACUUCGCCAUUUCUAUUGAAGAUCUCGAAAUAGUCUAUUUUUAGCCAUAGAAGUAGAUCUUUAAAUCGUUCGAGGUACGUAUGCAAGUGUGGUAUGGACGCUCCUUUGAUGACGACAUGGAUGGAUGUGGGAUGUAUAAGAUAUGUAUAAGUUUCUCCAUUGAUGUUUACAGAUUCAAGGUUAAUGGUAUUGAAUGACAUUUAUUCAACUUCAUCUCCAUUGAUGCUUACAGAUUCAAGGUUACAAGAAAUGCAGUCACUUUGUUUGGUUGGAUGAGAAGAUGAAUCCUAAGGAAAAAGAGUUAAUCUCUGCAUUAUUAAAGAACUUAAAUGAAGAUAAGGUGAUGGUUAAAUAGUACAAAAAAAAAGAGGAAGAAUUGAAUAUGAAAGUGAAGAUGUUGAAGAAACAGUUGAAGAUAAACUUGAUGUUGUUGUUUAUUAUAUUGUUUGCAUUUGUUGGGACAACAUUGAUGAAAUAUGUUGUAAGUGAUUAGGUUUUAGGUUAUGUUUCUAUGUUGUUUACUUUAAUGGUGUAAGGUUAUUAAGUUAGCAUUGUAGAUUGUAAUACAUUUUGAAUAAAAUUAAUGCUAUUGUUCAAGUUGUUGGU